rnacentral:rRNA from 2 species
GCGUGCCAGUGAUGAUGGAGAGUCUGACGGAGCACGCCGCGUGAGUGAUGAAGGCUUUCGGGUCGUAAAACUCUGUUGUUAGGGAAGAACAAGUGCUAGUUGAAUAAGCUGGCACCUUGACGGUACCUAACCAGAAAGCCACGGCUAACUACGUGCCAGCAGCCGCGGUAAUACGUAGGUGGCAAGCGUUAUCCGGAAUUAUUGGGCGUAAAGCGCGCGCAGGUGGUUUCUUAAGUCUGAUGUGAAAGCCCACGGCUCAACCGUGGAGGGUCAUUGGAAACUGGGAGACUUGAGUGCAGAAGAGGAAAGUGGAAUUCCAUGUGUAGCGGUGAAAUGCGUAGAGAUAUGGAGGAACACCAGUGGCGAAGGCGACUUUCUGGUCUGUAACUGACACUGAGGCGCGAAAGCGUGGGGAGCAAACAGGAUUAGAUACCCCGGUAGUCAA